rnacentral:rRNA from 1 species
GGAUAAUAUUUUGAACCGCAUGGUUCAAAAGUGAAAGACGGUCUUGCUGUCACUUAUAGAUGGAUCCGCGCUGCAUUAGCUAGUUGGUAAGGUAACGGCUUACCAAGGCAACGAUGCAUAGCCGACCUGAGAGGGUGAUCGGCCACACUGGAACUGAGACACGGUCCAGACUCCUACGGGAGGCAGCAGUAGGGAAUCUUCCGCAAUGGGCGAAAGCCUGACGGAGCAACGCCGCGUGAGUGAUGAAGGUCUUCGGAUCGUAAAACUCUGUUAUUAGGGAAGAACAUAUGUGUAAGUAACUGUGCACAUCUUGACGGUACCUAAUCAGAAAGCCACGGCUAACUACGUGCCAGCAGCCGCGGUAAUACGUAGGUGGCAAGCGUUAUCCGGAAUUAUUGGGCGUAAAGCGCGCGUAGGCGGUUUUUUAAGUCUGAUGUGAAAGCCCACGGCUCAACCGUGGAGGGUCAUUGGAAACUGGAAAACUUGAGUGCAGAAGAGGAAAGUGGAAUUCCAUGUGUAGCGGUGAAAUGCGCAGAGAUAUGGAGGAACACCAGUGGCGAAGGCGACUUUCUGGUCUGUAACUGACGCUGAUGUGCGAAAGCGUGGGGAUCAAACAGGAUUAGAUACCCUGGUAGUCCACGCCGUAAACGAUGAGUGCUAAGUGUUAGGGGGUUUCCGCCCCUUAGUGCUGCAGCUAACGCAUUAAGCACUCCGCCUGGGGAGUACGACCGCAAGGUUGAAACUCAAAGGAAUUGACGGGGACCCGCACAAGCGGUGGAGCAUGUGGUUUAAUUCGAAGCAACGCGAAGAACCUUACCAAAUCUUGACAUCCUUUGACAACUCUAGAGAUAGAGCUUUCCCCUUCGGGGGACAAAGUGACAGGUGGUGCAUGGUUGUCGUCAGCUCGUGUCGUGAGAUGUUGGGUUAAGUCCCGCAACGAGCGCAACCCUUAAGCUUAGUUGCCAUCAUUAAGUUGGGCACUCUAAGUUGACUGCCGGUGACAAACCGGAGGAAGGUGGGGAUGACGUCAAAUCAUCAUGCCCCUUAUGAUUUGGGCUACACACGUGCUACAAUGGACAAUACAAAGGGCAGCGAAACCGCGAGGUCAAGCAAAUCCCAUAAAGUUGUUCUCAGUUCGGAUUGUAGUCUGCAACUCGACUACAUGAAGCUGGAAUCGCUAGUAAUCGUAGAUCAGCAUGCUACGGUGAAUACGUUCCCGGGUCUUGUACACACCGCCCGUCACACCACGAGAGUUUGUAACACCCGAAGCCGGUGGAGUAACCUUUUAGGAGCUAGCCGUCGAAGGUGGGACAAAUGAUUGGGGUGAAGUCGUAACAAGGUAGCCGUAUCGGAAGGUGCGGCUGGAUCACCUCCUUU